AUUGAACGCUGGCGGCAUGCCUUACACAUGCAAGUCGAACGGCAGCACGGGAGCAAUCCUGGUGGCGAGUGGCGAACGGGUGAGUAAUGUAUCGGAACGUACCUUUCAGUGGGGGAUAACGUAGCGAAAGUUACGCUAAUACCGCAUAUUCUGUGAGCAGGAAAGCAGGGGAUCGCAAGACCUUGCGCUGAUUGAGUGGCCGAUAUCAGAUUAGCUAGUUGGUGAGGUAAAGGCUCACCAAGGCGACGAUCUGUAGCGGGUCUGAGAGGAUGAUCCGCCACACUGGAACUGAGACACGGUCCAGACUCCUACGGGAGGCGGCAGUGGGGAAUUUUGGACAAUGGGCGCAAGCCUGAUCCAGCCAUGCCGCGUGAGUGAAGAAGGCCUUCGGGUUGUAAAGCUCUUUCGGCCGGGAAGAAAUCGCACAGGUUAAUACCCUGUGUGGAUGACGGUACCGGAAUAAGAAGCACCGGCUAACUACGUG
rnacentral:rRNA from 1 species